GGGCAUUUAGCUCAGCUGGUCUAGAGCGAUCGCCUCACACGCGAUAGGUCACAGGUUCAAAUCCUGUAAUGCCCA
rnacentral:tRNA from 1 species